AUGCUCUUCUUUCUCCUUAUUCUCAUGUCCACUAGAGACGUUUGUUGUUUGGAGAUGAUGCAGAGAUGUUCACUGAUGGACUGGAGUGCUGUGGAUUACUUUUGGAUUAUUGUGAUGUUUUUAUCAGCUGUUUGGACUCUCAUUCUGACGGCACCCAUUCACUGCAGAGCAUCCAUUGAUGAGACACUGAUGCAAUGCUACAUUUCUACAAACCUGAUGAAGAAACAAACUCAUCCUAUAUGGCCUGAGGGUCCUUUAAGAGAGUAUGGCAUUGUUAUUUUACCCUUUUGGAGUCAGUGAGGAGCAUGAGGAGUGCUGUUUAUGUAGCACAUGACUUUAAAGCCUGUGUAGAAUGAACAAUCAUUUAUAAGGUUAGAUUUCUAUGUAGACAGCAGGGUUUGGAACAGAGCUCGAGUCGGGCUGGAUCGGUCCAGCUCUGUCCCUCAUUGGUUGUCAGGGAAACGUCCCCUGGACGACACACGGCUUCAUCCUGAUGAGGAGAUGGAACGGCUCUGAUAAGCAGAGAUCCAGACCGGGACCAGAGCACUGGAACCAAUUCAAUGACAGUCCCACGUCUGCAGCAUGAAGCAGCCCAAAUGAUACUGUAAUCCUGAUAAAAUCAUUUCUGCUAUAAUUACAGGUCUGAAAUAAGAGAGAUUUAAUGUCACGCUGCACCUGGAAUGAGAACAGAUGAACACUGGGGUAUUCAGAUCACUGGACGAUAUCAUGAAGUGUAACAGUUUACAAUAAAGCCUCAUUAGUGCAUUAGCUGACAUGAACUAACAAUAAAACAUGCCAUUUUUACAGCAUUUAUUAAUCGUUGUUAAUUAGUUAACAAAGUUCAUUGCUCAUGUUAGUUCACAGUGCAUCAGGGUUAUUAUAGUUAAUGAAAACUGAAACUAAAACCAUAAAACACUUUUUUUGUUACUGGAAAUAAUGUAAAUGUUAACUGAAAUAUGAUAUAAAAAAGCAGCAUUUCUAAUUUUCAUUUAGUUUAACUUGAUGUACUAAAAAAAAAAAAAAAAAAAAAAACUAUAUGGACAUUUUUAAAAACAAAAAUGCUAAAUAUGUACAUUGUGUAAAAAACUAAAUCUUUAACUAAAUUAAAAUGAAACAAUAAAAUAAAAUAAAAUGGAAAAAUAAAAAUCAACAAUAUUAAUAA
rnacentral:lncRNA from 12 species